AUACGUAGGGGGCGAGCGUUGUCCGGAAUGAUUGGGCGUAAAGGGCGCGUAGGCGGCCUGUUAAGUCUGGAGUGAAAGUCCUGUUUUCAAGAUGGGAAUUGCUUUGGAUACUGAUGGGCUUGAGUGCAGGAGAGGUAAUCGGAAUUCCCGGUGUAGUGGUGAAAUGCGUAGAGAUCGGGAGGAACACCAGUGGCGAAGGCGGGUAACUGGACUGCAACUGACGCUGAGGCGCGAAAGUGUGGGGAGCAAACAGGAUUAGAUACCCUGGUAGUCCACACCGUAAACGAUGAAUGCUAGGUGUAAGAGGUAUCGACCCCUUUUGUGCCGGAGUUAACACAAUAAGCAUUCCGCCUGGGGAGUACGGCCGCAAGGUUGAAACUCAAAUGAAUUGACGGGG
rnacentral:rRNA from 1 species